GGAAUAUUGCACAAUGGGCGCAAGCCUGAUGCAGCGACGCCGCGUGGGCGAUGAAGGUUUUCGGAUCGUAAAGCCCUUUUCUGCGUGACGAUAAUGACGGUAGCGCAGGAAAAAGUGUCGGCUAACUACGUGCCAGCAGCCGAGGGAAAACGUAGGACGCGAACGUUAUCCGGAAUUACGGGGCGUAAAGGGCGCGCAGGCGGUAGGGUAAGUUAGGCAUGAAAGCUCCCUGGCUAAACCGGGAGAGGCUGUCUGAUACUGCCGUACUGGAGUGAGGUAGAGGGGUGUAGAAUUCCGCGUGUAGUGGUGAAAUGCGUAGAUAUGCGGAGGAAUACCAGUGGCGAAGGCGACACCCUGGACCUUAACUGACGCUGAGGCGCGAAAGCAUGGGUAGCGA
rnacentral:rRNA from 1 species